rnacentral:rRNA from 1 species
UGCUUAACACAUGCAAGUCGAACGAUGAAGCCCAGCUUGCUGGGUGGAUUAGUGGCGAACGGGUGAGUAACACGUGAGUAACCUGCCCUUGACUCUGGGAUAAGCGCUGGAAACGGCGUCUAAUACCGGAUACGACCUACCCCGGCAUCGGGUGUGGGUGGAAAGUUUUUCGGUCAAGGAUGGACUCGCGGCCUAUCAGCUUGUUGGUGAGGUAAUGGCUCACCAAGGCGACGACGGGUAGCCGGCCUGAGAGGGUGACCGGCCACACUGGGACUGAGACACGGCCCAGACUCCUACGGGAGGCAGCAGUGGGGAAUAUUGCACAAUGGGCGAAAGCCUGAUGCAGCAACGCCGCGUGAGGGAUGACGGCCUUCGGGUUGUAAACCUCUUUUAGUAGGGAAGAAGGGCUUCGGCUUGACGGUACCUGCAGAAAAAGCACCGGCUAACUACGUGCCAGCAGCCGCGGUAAUACGUAGGGUGCAAGCGUUGUCCGGAAUUAUUGGGCGUAAAGAGCUCGUAGGCGGUUUGUCGCGUCUGCUGUGAAAACCCGAGGCUCAACCUCGGGCCUGCAGUGGGUACGGGCAGACUAGAGUGCGGUAGGGGAGAAUGGAAUUCCUGGUGUAGCGGUGGAAUGCGCAGAUAUCAGGAGGAACACCGAUGGCGAAGGCAGUUCUCUGGGCCGUAACUGACGCUGAGGAGCGAAAGCGUGGGGAGCGAACAGGAUUAGAUACCCUGGUAGUCCACGCCGUAAACGUUGGGCGCUAGAUGUGGGGACCUUUCCACGGUUUCCGUGUCGCAGCUAACGCAUUAAGCGCCCCGCCUGGGGAGUACGGCCGCAAGGCUAAAACUCAAAGGAAUUGACGGGGGCCCGCACAAGCGGCGGAGCAUGCGGAUUAAUUCGAUGCAACGCGAAGAACCUUACCAAGGCUUGACAUAUACGAGAACGGGCCAGAAAUGGUCAACUCUUUGGACACUCGUAAACAGGUGGUGCAUGGUUGUCGUCAGCUCGUGUCGUGAGAUGUUGGGUUAAGUCCCGCAACGAGCGCAGCCCUCGUUCUAUGUUGCCAGCACGUUAUGGUGGGAACUCAUAGGAGACUGCCGGGGUCAACUCGGAGGAAGGUGGGGAUGACGUCAAAUCAUCAUGCCCCUUAUGUCUUGGGCUUCACGCAUGCUACAAUGGCCGGUACAAAGGGCUGCGAUACCGUAAGGUGGAGCGAAUCCCAAAAAGCCGGUCUCAGUUCGGAUUGAGGUCUGCAACUCGACCUCAUGAAGUCGGAGUCGCUAGUAAUCGCAGAUCAGCAACGCUGCGGUGAAUACGUUCCCGGGCCUUGUACACACCGCCCGUCAAGUCAUGAAAGUCGGUAACACCCGAAGCCGGUGGCCUAACCUUUUGGAGGGAGCCGUCGAAGGUGGGAUCGGUGAUUAGGACUAAGUC